CAGAACGGUUGAUUCGUCCCGGCUGAUGAGCGAGUGUGUAUACGUCAAAACGGAAUUUGAGAUACAAAAUUCCGAAUGGCGGAGC
rnacentral:ncRNA from 1 species